rfam:Arabis alpina cultivar Pajares chromosome 1, whole genome shotgun sequence.
CUGAAGAAAUGAUGAGAAAUCAGAAAAUAUCUUAGGACACCUUCUGACACAUUAUUGUGUAUGAGAAAGACUUCGUUAUCUGAUCUUCAG